rnacentral:tRNA from 1 species
AAAAAUUUAGUUAAAAUAUAACAUUAACUUGUCAAGUUAAAAUAAUUAAUAAUUAAUAAUUUUUA